rnacentral:lncRNA from 1 species
AAUGGAAAAAGUUAAUGAAGUUUUGUUGGACUCUGUAACAACUAGUUGGAGUGGUUAAGCUGUUCAUUUACAUGAUAAUGUAUACUCAGAUGCAUCUUGUAAUGUGGUAUAAAAAAUUAUCUGUACGUAACAAACGAUGGAGACGAAGUGAUUAUUAUGUGUGGCAAACGAUUAUUUUAUAAAUUUUUCAAUUUCUGAUUUCGUGAUGGAACUUAUUGGAGUACACUUUUCUUGGACAUAGGAGGAGUAUUGCCGCUACAAGCAUAAACAAUAAUA